rnacentral:rRNA from 1 species
CCUACGGGUUGCAGCAGUGGGGAAUAUUGCACAAUGGGCGCAAGCCUGAUGCAGCCAUGCCGCGUGUAUGAAGAAGGCCUUCGGGUUGUAAAGUACUUUCAGCGAGGAGGAAGGCGUUAAGGUUAAUAACCUUGGCGAUUGACGUUACUCGCAGAAGAAGCACCGGCUAACUCCGUGCCAACAGCCGCGGUAAUACGGAGGGUGAAGCGUUAAUCGGAAUUACUGGGCGUAAAGCGCACGCAGGCGGUCUGUCAAGUCGGAUGUGAAAUCCCCGGGCUCAACCUGGGAACUGCAUUCGAAACUGGCAGGCUAGAGUCUUGUAGAGGGGGGUAGAAUUCCAGGUGUAGCGGUGAAAUGCGUAGAGAUCUGGAGGAAUACCGGUGGCGAAGGCGGCCCCCUGGACAAAGACUGGCGCUCAGGUGCGAAAGCGUGGGGAGCAAACAGGAUUAGAUACCCGGGUAG